rnacentral:rRNA from 1 species
GACGAACGCUGGCGGCGUGCCUAAUACAUGCAAGUCGAACGAACUCUGGUAUUGAUUGGUGCUUGCAUCAUGAUUUACAUUUGAGUGAGUGGCGAACUGGUGAGUAACACGUGGGAAACCUGCCCAGAAGCGGGGGAUAACACCUGGAAACAGAUGCUAAUACCGCAUAACAACUUGGACCGCAUGGUCCGAGUUUGAAAGAUGGCUUCGGCUAUCACUUUUGGAUGGUCCCGCGGCGUAUUAGCUAGAUGGUGGGGUAACGGCUCACCAUGGCAAUGAUACGUAGCCGACCUGAGAGGGUAAUCGGCCACAUUGGGACUGAGACACGGCCCAAACUCCUACGGGAGGCAGCAGUAGGGAAUCUUCCACAAUGGACGAAAGUCUGAUGGAGCAACGCCGCGUGAGUGAAGAAGGGUUUCGGCUCGUAAAACUCUGUUGUUAAAGAAGAACAUAUCUGAGAGUAACUGUUCAGGUAUUGACGGUAUUUAACCAGAAAGCCACGGCUAACUACGUGCCAGCAGCCGCGGUAAUACGUAGGUGGCAAGCGUUGUCCGGAUUUAUUGGGCGUAAAGCGAGCGCAGGCGGUUUUUUAAGUCUGAUGUGAAAGCCUUCGGCUCAACCGAAGAAGUGCAUCGGAAACUGGGAAACUUGAGUGCAGAAGAGGACAGUGGAAAUCCAUGUGUAGCGGUGAAAUGCGUAGAUAUAUGGAAGAACACCAGUGGCGAAGGCGGCUGUCUGGUCUGUAACUGACGCUGAGGCUCGAAAGUAUGGGUAGCAAACAGGAUUAGAUACCCUGGUAGUCCAUACCGUAAACGAUGAAUGCUAAGUGUUGGAGGGUUUCCGCCCUUCAGUGCUGCAGCUAACGCAUUAAGCAUUCCGCCUGGGGAGUACGGCCGCAAGGCUGAAACUCAAAGGAAUUGACGGGGGCCCGCACAAGCGGUGGAGCAUGUGGUUUAAUUCGAAGCUACGCGAAGAACCUUACCAGGUCUUGACAUACUAUGCAAAUCUAAGAGAUUAGACGUUCCCUUCGGGGACAUGGAUACAGGUGGUGCAUGGUUGUCGUCAGCUCGUGUCGUGAGAUGUUGGGUUAAGUCCCGCAACGAGCGCAACCCUUAUUAUCAGUUGCCAGCAUUAAGUUGGGCACUCUGGUGAGACUGCCGGUGACAAACCGGAGGAAGGUGGGGAUGACGUCAAAUCAUCAUGCCCCUUAUGGCCUGGGCUACACACGUGCUACAAUGGAUGGUACAACGAGUUGCGAACUCGCGAGAGUAAGCUAAUCUCUUAAAGCCAUUCUCAGUUCGGAUUGUAGGCUGCAACUCGCCUACAUGAAGUCGGAAUCGCUAGUAAUCGCGGAUCAGCAUGCCGCGGUGAAUACGUUCCCGGGCCUUGUACACACCGCCCGUCACACCAUGAGAGUUUGUAACACCCAAAGUCGGUGGGGUAACCUUUUAGGAACCAGCCGCCUAAGGUGGGACAGAUGAUUAGGGUG